rnacentral:rRNA from 1 species
AACGAACGCUGGCGGCGUGCUUAACACAUGCAAGUCGAACGCGAAAGCUUCCUUCGGGAAGCGAGUAGAGUGGCGCACGGGUGAGUAACACGUGGAUAAUCUGCCCGACGAUCUGGGAUAACAUUCCGAAAGGAGUGCUAAUACCGGAUAAGCCCACAGGCUCUUCGGAGUUUGCGGGAAAAGGUGGGGACCUUCGGGCCUACCGUCGUCGGAUGAGUCCGCGUCCCAUUAGCUAGUUGGCGGGGUAAUGGCCCACCAAGGCGACGAUGGGUAGCUGGUCUGAGAGGAUGAUCAGCCACACUGGAACUGAGACACGGUCCAGACUCCUACGGGAGGCAGCAGUGGGGAAUUUUGCGCAAUGGGGGAAACCCUGACGCAGCAACGCCGCGUGAGUGAUGAAGGCUUUCGGGUCGUAAAGCUCUGUCAGGGGGGAAGAAACUCUUGUGGUCGAACAGGCCACAGGAUUGACGGUACCCUCAAAGGAAGCACCGGCUAACUCCGUGCCAGCAGCCGCGGUAAUACGGAGGGUGCGAGCGUUGUUCGGAAUUAUUGGGCGUAAAGCGCGUGCAGGCGGCCUGUUAAGUCUGAUGUGAAAGCCCGGGGCUCAACCCCGGAAGUGCAUUGGAUACU